CAGAACGAUGUGUCUAUGAAAGCCACUUUGGUAGACAAGGUGACCAUAUGUAUACAAGAAAGGAAGAAAGAGCACCCUCACUCUGAGCCUUCUGGCUGAGGUACUCAGGAGACUUCGUGGAAGAUGGAUUUGUUCCCGAAUCUUUAGCAGCAUUGAGAAGCUAUGGCCCACAGGCCAAAUCCGACCCACUGUCUACUUUGGUCAUCUCAUGAGACCGAGUACCGUAUAUGGGACUUUGCCUCUUGCGUCUGUGUUUUGAGUACAUCUCCUAUGCCUGACAUAUCGCGGGAAGCCUUUGAUGAAGAAAAGGCAGCUGGCGGGCAGACGGGCACAGAGGAGCACGCGCCGUCCUGGAGUUUUAUGAAAACAAGGCCUCGAGACUGCAAGUGCAGGUGGAAAAUGUUCAGAUCCCUUGAGAGAGACCCGAUCAGGGCAAUAGCAUUGAUCAAAGGCGGUGAGUCACCCCCAGAGAAAUCCAAUUAAACAUCCGUAUUUCAAGGA